CACACAUUUAUUUAUUUACUUACUUAUUUAUUCAGGUGAAUUCAACAGAAGAUCAGCACAGUGACUUUUCCGUUCAAGUGUGUCUGAGGCCACCAACAAGGACGGUGGCUAUGCAGUUCAAAGGAAGGGGACGGACUAAAGGUGUGCAGGCUACUACAUCAAUGGUCACUGUUGGGACUCAGACUGAGGAUGACUGCUUUUGCUUUCACAACACCGACAACUCAACCUCUUGUGGCUCUGACUCAGAUGACAACAUGUCGACAGAUGAUCCCGACUACAAGCUGCCGUCCUCUGAUGAUUCAGCUGAAGAGAGUCCUGAACACAAUACUCCACCAGUGCCGCCACCUGAGGCGCCAGCAGAUUGGGCGUUGCUGUGAUGUCGGAAAGAUCGUUCUUCAGACAUCAGGACCAGGUGCUUUUCAAAGCUGUGAAGCGAGUUUGGGGCGAGCAGCAGUUUGCCAUGCUCUGUCUGCUACAGGCAGAAGGGGAACCCAUCGUGUGUGGUGGUGACGGGCGUGCCGACACCCCAGGGCAUUGCGCUAAGUACGGCACCUACUCAACAAUGGAGCUCCGGAAAACAGCUGUUAUUGACGUACAACUUGUACAGAGCAAUGAGGUU